rnacentral:rRNA from 1 species
UACAGAGGGUGCAAGCGUUGUUCGGAAUUAUUGGGCGUAAAGCGCGUGUAGGCGGCUUUGCAAGUCGGGUGUGAAAGCCCUCAGCUCAACUGAAGAAGUGCGCCCGAAACUGCAGAGCUUGAGUGCCGGAGAGGGUGGCGGAAUUCCCCAAGUAGAGGUGAAAUUCGUAGAUAUGGGGAGGAACACCGGUGGCGAAGGCGGCCACCUGGACGGUAACUGACGCUGAGACGCGAAAGCGUGGGUAGCAAACAGG